GUCCUUUUAUAGUUCAUGAGCACAAUGACUGGGUGUUCACACACAUGUGUGAAAUGUGCCACCCUCAAACCUUGUUACAAUAUUGGCAUAUUACCCGUGUGACA
rnacentral:snoRNA from 1 species